UGCUUAUAAACAACAUAAAAUAGAGCAAGAACAAUUAGUAGCAUAAAAAACCAAUAUCAAAGCAAAAUCAGAAAUAGAAUCAAUCAAGCCAAACACUAAAAAUACAAAAUUAGUAACAAAAUUUCCAAAUAAAGUCACAAUUACUACUGUAAAGGUGUAUGUCUUUAUUUAAUACAUAUAGCUAUUAGACAUCUUUUAUGAACACAAAGAUGCAUCUCGACCCCCUUCUCCUUUCUCCACCCCCUUCGCCUUCGUAGAUGAAUUCAUCACGGAAAAUUUAUGAUGAUUCGCAGAAAAAUGAAAGAUGUUUAUGGAGAACAACUUGAGGAAAAACAAAUCGAUGAUGAAGAUUUACGUUUUCAAUCACUCUCUUGAGGUUGGGCAAGCAUCAGAAACACGAUUUUUGUUUCAGAAUCGCAAGAAUUGAGUUCUGGCAUUUUAGGGUUCUUGAGGGUUUAUGCGUUUAACAUAAUGACUUUUUCACUUACGUUUAUGCGUUUAAUUGUUUUGAAAGGGCUGUGUUGUU
rnacentral:lncRNA from 1 species